rnacentral:rRNA from 1 species
CCCUUAGAUGUCCGGGGCCGCACGCGCGCUACACUGAAGGAAUCAGCGUGGCUUUCUCCCUGACCCGAAAGGGUUGGGAAACCCGUUGAAUCUCCUUCGUGAUAGGGAUUGGGGCUUGAAAUUGUUCCCCAUGAACGAGGAAUUCCCAGUAAGCGCGAGUCAUAAGCUCGCGUUGAUUACGUCCCUGCCCUUUGUACACACCGCCCGUCGCUACUACCGAUUGAACGGUUUAGCGAGGGCCUCGGAUUGGUCUCGGCCCGCUCUUUACCGGGCGGCGCCGUUGGUCGAGAAGACGCUCGAACUUGAUCGUUUAGAGGAAGUAAAAGUCGUAACA